GUGGGGAAUAUUGGACAAUGGGGGGAACCCUGAUCCAGCCAUGCCGCGUGUGUGAAGAAGGCCUUUUGGUUGUAAAGCACUUUAAGCGAGGAGGAGGCUACCGAGAUUAAUACUCUUGGAUAGUGGACGUUACUCGCAGAAUAAGCACCGGCUAACUCUGUGCCAGCAGCCGCGGUAAUACAGAGGGUGCAAGCGUUAAUCGGAUUUACUGGGCGUAAAGCGCGCGUAGGUGGCCAAUUAAGUCAAAUGUGAAAUCCCCGAGCUUAACUUGGGAAUUGCAUUCGAUACUGGUUGGCUAGAGUAUGGGAGAGGAUGGUAGAAUUCCAGGUGUAGCGGUGAAAUGCGUAGAGAUCUGGAGGAAUACCGAUGGCGAAGGCAGCCAUCUGGCCUAUUACUGACACUGAGGUGCGAAAGCAUGGGGAGCAAACAGGAUUAGAUACCCUAGUAGUCC
rnacentral:rRNA from 1 species